CCCAGGGCCGCGCCGCCCGCCCUGCGGCGGCCGAGGAGGAGGGCAGGAGGUGCGGGAAGAGACUGAACGGAUUCUCACUCCAAAUGGCUGUGAGGAGCUGUGCCUGCACCGGUUUGUUUUGCCGGCAGCGCCUUCCCUAACGCCUUGUUUGCUUUCGCUUCCUUUGUUUUUAGUUGUGGGCACACAUUUUUAUUCGGUUCCCAUCCUAGGACAGAUGAGUUAGGUUGGCAGGGACGGGCGGAAAAUGUGGCCGGCUGAAAGGAAGGAAGAAGUAAGGAGCCGAAAAUUCCUUUUCCACCUUUGGCCGGAAUGGGAAAGCAGAGCGGGAUAGACGCACACCGUCAGGCACCCGGAAGGUUUAGCCCUGACUCCUUGCUGGGAAAGCAAAGCCUGGGACACCCCACGGAACGCCACCAGUGUGGCCGAUACUCGGCUGCGGUUCCAAAUGGUAUCUGAACUUGGUACUCACAUGACAGUAAAACAGAAGAUUGUGAAUAGCAACAUCAUAGGAUUUUCAUAAUGAGCAGCAGAAGAGGGGUGUUGUGCAGAGCAGCGACCUGCAGGCACCUGCACCAGGAGCCAGCAUCCUGUCUGCAGCGCUCCUUGCCCGCUCCAGCAGGACAGGCUGCCAGCCACAUGAUUUAACUGCGUGAGGAACUGAUUCUGGUAUAUUGUGUUGGGUGGGAAUUUUCUUGGUCGUUAGGGUUUGUUGGUUGGUUCCUUGCUUGGUUGCUUGACUGGGUAUUUUCCCAGAGUUUGCUGUUAGUUUAAGGAUUUGCAUUGUCUUUCACAAAGUUUCAGUUGACCCUUCAAUCCUGCUCAUGGGAAGCGUCUAGUAGGCACAGUGUGAUCCAGGCCACCACUUCUGUGGGAAUUAGCUGCUGGAUCACUUGCAUGAGCCAGUUGUUCCUGUAUUGUUCUGCACAAGUCUGGUGGAACAGGAUCAUAAAUUUCAACCUUGAAAAAAACCAAAAACCCAAAACAAAGCAAAAAAUCUCAUCGCGCUUGACAUGACACAAAUUACAUUAAUAAAUUGGUGGAGUAUGAGCUGAUAGUACUGCAAUAUGGCCACUCACCGAAAAUUAAUACAUAAGUCUUCAGUAUUGGCACCAGCUGUUUCUCUGAUUACUUUUGUCCUAUUGUAUUGCUUUUACCAUGAAAUGGAUGCCAAUUACGGAUCCAGGCUUAUUUGUAUUUUUAUUAUUUGAGAGUUAUAGGGGUUAAAAUCUCCUCCCAAAAGUUUCAGCAAGGCCAGUGAUGAAGUGUUCAGCCCAGGAUAUAGUAUGGAGGAUACUAGUCUUCCACCUCCGUGACAUAAAUUAUAAAUUCAUAUUUUGGCAUCAUAGAAAUACUAUUGCUUCUGUCAAAAUACCUUUCAUGUGCAUUUAUUAUGUCACAUUCAAGCACAUUUUUCUUUCAUGUCAUUGAAUUUUUCAUUCUUUCAUGGGUUUUCAUUCUUUAUGGGUUUUUUAUUUUUGUGAAAGUCCAAAGUAAGUUAUUCAUAAAUAUAAUCACACCUAUUUAUUAACCUAGAGAGACUUUGUAUAAUGUCUAGUUCAUUUGCCAUCAGUAGGGCUUCUCAUGCUCUGCUAGGUUAAGGUAUUGUAUGUUUGGAUUAUUUAUCUAAGACCUCAAACAUUCUAUUCUAGCUUUUACUCUUACCCUACAGUCUAUUCUUGGAUAUAUAUACUUCCUAAUUCUGAUUUUAUAUAAGUUUCAUAGCAUAGUAACUCCAUCAUUUUCAAUGGAAUUGCACCAUUGAAAAACAAUGAAAUUGUUUUUACAUACACAGUAGUGUCAGACCGUGAGCUUCCUUUAAGAUAUUUAACAUUCACAUUGUAAUUGUGUGACUCCUCCAGUUUGUAAGGAAAAAACCAAAACUUCAGAAUAGUCUAACCAUUAAAAAGCAUAAACUGAUACGCCCUCAUUCCCAUCUUAGUUCUCACUAUGUCACAGGUCAGGGAGGCAAGAGUUACACAUCACCCAGACAGAGGUAGUUCUUUUGGUAUUUCAUGGAAAAGUAUUAUUUAUAAAUCUUUCCAUCAUCCAAAUAGUGCGUCAGAGGAGGUUAUUUUCUUGCAAUCCAAAGUACGUCACUAGAAGGACCACGGAUCUCAUUGCCCAUAAUUUUAAAAUGGAAGACUAAUCCAAAAUCAAAGCAUUCUUGAAUACUUCCCACAAUCUUGUACCAAACUUUAGUAUAUAAACUGAAAAAUUAUUUUUCCAGUGGAGAUGAACAGAAAAUAAUGAUCCACAUGCAUGUAGUAGUAGUAGUUCAUAAAAUUAUGUUUUCAAUAUGCAAUUUAUACACAAAUUAAAUGCAAGAAUUUAGACGCUUUAGGAAUAAAUUCUGUAUUUUAUAUAUGAUUCAUGUCUUAUAUUAAUAGGUGCAUCAAUAUAUUUUGCACAUUACUACCAGAUUUUCUAAUGAAAAUCAUAAGCAAAUGCAUGAGGGAUAAGUGACAUAAGGAUAAAAAUUAUGACCCAGUCAAUUGUGUUUUCAGAUGAGCAAUUAAAUUAUUUUUAUUGAUAUAUAUAAUUUAAAAACAUUAUAGCAGAAGCCCAUCAUGAGAUUGUUUCAAGUAUUUAUGGUUUUAAAGUGAAUGCAGAGAAGGAUCUUAAGACAACAGGUAAUCAGUGUUUUCCUCUAAGUGGAAGUACAGUAAUAAGGGAAGUAUCUUUCUUUCUCUGUAUGAAAAUCUAUUAGAAAAGCUUGUGGUACUUAGAAAAAAUGGUCCUCAUUAAGUCUUAUAUAAAGCCAUCACAAAUACUUGACAGAAGUCGUAUUUCCACAGAAGUAUUUAAAGUAAUGGAGAAAAUUGAGUUGGAAGACAGCAAAAUAAUUGGCUUCCAUUUAAUACUUUAGGAAGUAUUGAGCAGGAAUCAAAGCACUCUGUUACAUACUGAAGUAAAAAUGUGGGUUGAGUUGUAUAACUAUAAUUACAGUUACAUAAAUUCAGUUAUACCUAUAACCUCAGAUAGCCAGAUAGUAUGUUUCUUCAAUCAGUAUGGGAUGACUUGUGAACUUGAAUUUGGGCAGAAAUAGAAAUAACUCUUGUGCCUGUGAUGUAGAGCUAAUAGUAGAUUGCUGUUAUUAUUCCCCUGCAGUUAACAUGGAAUUUAGAUAGUGCUUUAUACUUUUAAGGAAGAUUGGUGAAUCUAUAAUAAUAUUUAAGGGAAUUACAGAAAUUUAUUAGUAGGGAAAAGGAUAACAUUUGUUUCUUUUGUCCUAAGAGACAGAGAAGAGAAACUUUUCAACACUUAAAAAAUUCUGUUUUGGACAUAUAGAGAAUUUGAUAGAGUUCUAAGAUUGUUUAAAUACCACUUUGGAUAAAACACAUGCAUUACCCUGGUGUGGGUAUAAUUGUGAGGCAAGCUCUCAGGGUACUGUAUUUCUAUGGGACUGCUUACUAAUCUGGUUGUAUUUUGAAUUUUGGGUUUGCAUUGCCUUACAUAGAAUCUAAAUAAAAAUCCUCUGAAAUUUUGGUUUUGUUUUGAUUGAUAGAAGAUCAUUUUUUUUUACUCCAAAAUAAAGAGUGUUUAACAGAACUGAGAUUUUGAAGAGACUAGGAAAUUUUCAGAAAAAUCAGUGGUUAAAUUUUAGUUUAAAUACUGAGAGUAAUAGAUGUAUUUUGAAUUAUAUAGGAUAUUCAAAUCUCUUCUAUUUGUGAGGGAAAACUUUUGUCAUUAAUACCUGCUUCUGCUAAGAAACUAGUCCUAAGUCUGAGAUUUACAAGAAAAGAAAAAAAGCUUUGAGCUCCCCCUACUGUUCUUUCCAUCCAAAAAGAUGGAAAACCUGAAUUUUGUUUUGAUGGGUAAAAUAUCAGUCAGAUAGAA